UAUUAAAGUUGUUGCAGUUAAAAAGCUCGUAGUUGGAUUUCGGAAGGUCCUUAGCAGUCCGCCCCUUCGGGGAGCGGGUUGCUGGCCUCCUAUGUUCCUAACGGUCCUCAUCCGCGAGGGUGGGGAAUCGACCGCUAGGAUCGUUUACUUUGAGGAAAUUAGAGUGUUCAAAGCAGGCGUAACUCGCCUCCGAAUACGUUAGCAUGGGAUAAUGGAAUACGACUUCGGUCUUGUUUCGUUGGUUUCGCUUGGCUGAAGUAAUGAUUGAUAGGGACAGUUGGGGGCAUUAGUAUUUAGUUGUCAGAGGUGAAAUUCUAGGAUUUACUAAAGACUGACCAAUGCGAAAGCAUUUGCCAAGGAUGUUUUCAUUAAUCAAGAACGAAAGUAGGGGGAUCGAAGACGAUCAGAUACCGUCGUAGUCUCUACCGUAAACUAUGCCGACCAGGGAUCCGGAGAGUUUGCAUGGAUGACUCCCCGGGCACCUUGUGAGAAAUCAUAAGUGUUUGGGUUUUGGGGGGAGUAUGGUCGCAAGGCUGAAACUUAAAGGAAUUGACGGAAGGGCACCACCAGGAGUGGAACCUGCGGCUUAAUUUGACUCAACACGGGGAAACUUACGAGGUCAGGACACUGUGAGGAUUGACAGAU
rnacentral:rRNA from 1 species